UACAGAGGGUGCGAGCGUUGUUCGGAAUUAUUGGGCGUAAAGCGCUUGUAGGCGGCACGUCAAGUCGCGUGUGAAAUCCCCAGGCUUAACCUGGGAAGUGCGCGCGAAACUGACGAGCUUGAGUGCCGGAGAGGGUCGCGGAAUUCCCGGUGUAGAGGUGAAAUUCGUAGAUAUCGGGAGGAACACCAGUGGCGAAGGCGGCGACCUGGACGGACACUGACGCUGAGACGGCGAAAGCGUGGGGAGCAAACAGG
rnacentral:rRNA from 1 species